rnacentral:rRNA from 1 species
CAGCAGCCACGGUAAUACGGAGGGUGCAAGCGUUAAUCGGAAUUACUGGGCGUAAAGCGCACGCAGGCGGUCUGUCAAGUCGGAUGUGAAAUCCCCGGGCUCAACCUGGGAACUGCAUUCGAAACUGGCAGGCUAGAGUCUUGUAGAGGGGGGUAGAAUUCCAGGUGUAGCGGUGAAAUGCGUAGAGAUCUGGAGGAAUACCGGUGGCGAAGGCGGCCCCCUGGACAAAGACUGACGCUCAGGUGCGAAAGCGUGGGGAGCAAACAGGAUUAGAGACCCCAGUAGUCCCUGUCUCUUAUAC